AUGCCACCCCUCAAUGCUGCAGCAAUCACCAUGCUUACUGAUCGUUGGCGGCCGGAGACACACAGUUUCCAUCUUCGCACCAGAGAGAUGACCGUGACGCUCCAGGAUAUUUCUAUGAUCACCGGUCUUCAUAUCGAGGGUAAUCCUCUAUGUAUGAGCACCGAUUAUGAUGGGUGA
rnacentral:rRNA from 1 species